CCUGCGCUGCUGAGACUGGUUGUUCUAGCACCAUGUCACUAGUACGGCAAGAGAAAUGACUGGCUCCCGUGUCUGAUGGGCUCCUGGUGUCAAGAAAGAUCGAUUGUCACAGCCUCAGGUUCUUGUUAACUUGGAAUAAUGACAGAUGGCUCUGUCUCAUCCAGGGGUUCGCAGAUGAAGCCAUUCAGGGAACCGCAGUGGAAACGUAAUGCCGAAAUCAGCCCUCAAAAUCGAAUUAACCUUUAAGUAGAUCUUACAAGUGACGCUGUGAGCAUUGUUAUCUCCUGAAGAGAAAGCAGCUGGAGGAGGAAGCAUCUGAAAUUGCCACCACUGUUUGUGAAGGCACCAC